GCACAAGCGGUGGAGCAUGUGGUUUAAUUCGACGCAACGCGAAGAACCUUACCUAGGCUUGACAUGCAUGGGAAAGCCCUGAGAAACCAGGGCCCCUCUUCGGAGUCCAUGCACAGGUGCUGCAUGGCUGUCGUCAGCUCGUGUCGUGAGAUGUUGGGUUAAGUCCCGCAACGAGCGCAACCCCCGUUUCUAGUUGCCAGCGAGUCAUGUCGGGAACUCUAGAAAGACUGCCGGUGCCAAACCGGAGGAAGGUGGGGAUGACGUCAAGUCAUCAUGGUCCUUACGUCUAGGGCUACACACGUGCUACAAUGGCCGGUACAGAGGGUUGCGAGCUCGCGAGAGCAAGCCAAUCCCAGAAAGCCGGCCUCAGUGCGGAUUGGAGGCUGCAACUCGCCUCCAUGAAGCUGGAAUCGCUAGUAAUCGUGGAUCAGCUACGCCACGGUGAAUACGUUCCCGGGC
rnacentral:rRNA from 1 species